UAAGUAUUACCUCUUUCCCAAAUUACUUGUCUUAGAUUUCUAUAGAUAUGGAUGUAUCUAACACUAAAUGUGUCUAGAUACAUCCGUAUCUAGACAAAUCUAAGACAAGUAAUUCGGGACGGAGUACAUC
rfam:Triticum aestivum genome assembly, contig: Triticum_aestivum_CS42_TGACv1_scaffold_433456_5DL